rnacentral:misc_RNA from 1 species
GGACUUUGGAUACGCGUGUCUUAUGCCGUCUCUGUUUUUUGUGUCUGAUCGUAUCCGUCUGGAUUGAGCUUUUUGACCGGAUCGCGGCCUACAUUGGGUAUGCCGUCGUCCUUGCUCUGUCUACACCGAAAGAUUUUAAUGGGCGCUCGGGGGACGCGUUGCACCCUUCAGCCGAUGAAGGACGGGACGGGACCGAAAUGCUUCGGGGAGCUGUGACUGACUUGCGAUGCUGAGAUUUCCUACCGGCGACCCCCUGCGCUUGGGGCUUAGGGCUUGUAGCUCAGUUGGUUAGAGCGCGCGCUUGAUAAGCGUGAGGUCGGAGGUUCAAGUCCUCCCAGGCCCACCAUCUCUGAUGGAAGCUGGGUGGCUUCCUAUCUCCUCUACAAAAGGUAUCAGGGGCCGUAGCUCAGCUGGGAGAGCGCCUGCUUUGCAAGCAGGAUGUCGUCGGUUCGAUCCCGUCCGGCUCCACCAUUACCUUUGGUGUUGAGUAGAGAUGAGGUGUCAGAAAAAGUCAUUCGUAAAAAAGGUUUGUGGUGAGCGUCUAGCUUGCCGCUUGUUCUGUUUGACAUUGUAAAGAGAAGAUUUGUUCGAACUUCAUGGCAGUAAUGCCGUGAUUUGUCGCGGGAGACGCUCAAUCUCCCGCAUAUGAUGGGCUUGCCUAACCGCACCCUCGAACCGAUCUCGAGAAGCUGGUCUUUUUGUGCCAAUGACAUCGAAGUUUGAUCCCGCACAGGAUCUGCUUCAGGCGACAAUCUCUCCGAGAUUGCGCGGACGCUAACCUCGCAGGGGAAGGCUGAAGCGACAUCCCUUCGGGAUUGCGCGGGUGGGCAUUGGCAUGAGACGAUCAGUGUCUAGGCAAUUGGUGGAUGCCUUGGCAUGCACAGGCAUGAAGACGUGAUACGCUGCGAUAGCUACGGGAGUGCGAUACCCUUGAUCCGUAGAUUCGAGGGGGUAACCGGGAA